rnacentral:lncRNA from 1 species
AAAAAAAAAGAGUUACUGGUUUGGCAAAGUCUUAGUUAAAAGCCUAGCUGAGAAUUCUUUUCUCGCUGUGCUAGGCAUGAAAAACACAAUUGGAAUGAGAGCAUUUAGCUCUCUACUUACUGUUUACUUCUUUACGGUUGGUUCUGUGCAACAGUUUUGUAAGUGAGGAAAGGGCAUCAGAAUGAAGUUUCUUCCUUAAUGCAAGAGCUGAUACGGUAAUACCCCCAGAGGUUUAAUUUGUUUGGUAGCUAACCCAAAUAUUAGUACUAACACGUACUAUUGUAGGAUUUUUGGAUUCUGGGAGGAAAAGAUUUAGCAGAUAGAUUUAAGUAAACUGUAAAAGCUAAAUACUUAGGUGUUGUGAGUAUGGCACUGUUUUAGCUAGGGAAGAAAAUGGCGUUGCAAAAUGCUUUGGCCAAAUUUGCAAGUCCCACUUGCAACUAAACUGUAUUACACAGUCCAGAACCUUCCUAGAGAAGCUAAUGGUCCUCUCAUGAUGGAUAAGAUGCAGCUCCCAACAUUUAGAACUAGGCAGGUCAAGGAAAGGGUUGUACAUAAUGUUUUGUAAGUUGAUCAUAUUACAUCUAACCUGUAGUAUUAUGGAGAAGUCCUACUUGCGCAUUUUUUUGGCCUUCAACUCCUAGUGUACAUAUAGGAAUUAGGAGUUGACACAGUUUGUAAUACGGAAGGCAAUACUUUAGUCUCUAAGUUAGAAUCUAAGACAAUUUCUAGGUUAGUUGCUAAAGAUAGUUGGCUAUAUUUUUUAACAUAAUUGAGCCUGUCCUAUUCACACUCAGGAUUUGAGGAUGUAAGUUGGCAUGUGCCCCUCCUUGUCCUUGAUCUUUCACUUUUUGGUUAUUAAGCACCUCAAACGGGCUUACAUAAGAAAGUAAUAAAUAAAUAAAUACUUGGGUGUUGAGAUAUUUACUUACCCCGCCACUAGAAUAUUGAGCAUGACUGUAGCUCCAACUGCAAUGCCCGCCAACUCUCCCACCUAUUGAAUAUUAAGAUUUGUAUCGUUAGAGAAAAGAAAACUAAAGGAAUAUGUAUUUAUUGGCAUAGGAAGAGGAAGGAAAGAAGAAAAAACAAAAUUUUCAUGCCAUCUUGCCAUGGAAGUAAUUACCAGAUGGAUUCUAGGGAUUUAUUUUUUAAUAUUAAUUUGUGUGAACCUCUAAGUUGAACUCAAAGGAGGUAAUAGAUCUUUCUAGAUUUCGAUCGUGUAAUUGAACCAAUAUCAAUGAUAAAUUUUACCUAAGGUAAAUUUUUACGCCUCCUUCUCGCUUUGGUCCUCUUCAAUAAACUAGACUAGUAGUCUAAUAUGUAUAUAAAAGAAAACUAGCUAAUCAGAAACAAAUGAAGUAUAUAUAACAUAAUUAACAUGCUAUCGUCUAUCCUUCUUUCUUUCACUGAAAAUAUAUUUUCACUUUUACUUGUCCAUUCUAGCAAAUUACUUGUCCAUUCUAGCAGAUGGAGAGAAAGAUAUUUUUUUUCUCUUAUUUUACCCUUAUCAUUAACUACUUAAUUAUUCCCCAAAUUAUUUUCCAUGACUUUUUGAAAUGCUAUCAUUAUUAGGGGUUAUAUGGUAAAAUGCAUACUAUAAUUAUUAUUAUUUCUCAACGGCUUGAAAAGUCUGAAGUGCGAAGGAAAACUAUGUAUGAUUAAUGCUCCCAAGACAAGUUAAGUUGGUCCAUACCGCGCGGGUGUCGGUAGCAACAGCAGUGACAACAAAAAGGAGAUUGAAUGUGAUGAGGAAUUCGAGAGCAAAAGCCUGGCCAGUGUUUACGGAAGGAACAGUAACGCCACCAGACAUGAAAGGAUGAAAAACACCCUUGAGAGCAAAAGAAGCACAAACGGAUGCUGAAACCUGCGCUGCAACAUAGGCCGGCACUUGAACCCACGGAAAGUGACGAAGUGCUGCAAAUGCGAUGGUGAGCGACGGAUUAAGAUGUGCUCCAGAAAUAUGGCCUGUUGACAGAAUCACGAUCAUAACGGCCAGCCCAGCGCAAGCUGCAUUUCCUAUUAGAGAUUCUACGCCGCUGUACUUCUGGUUCACAAUUGGCCCAGCUGUUGCAGCAAAUAUAAGGAUAAAUGUCCCCACGAACUCUGCUCCCAACUGUAUCCACACACAAGUUUCUAUGCUUUAGGAUAUGACAAUUAGUUCUAUAAAUGCAACAAAGUAACAACGAAGGAGUUCUAUGUCAGAAAUCAGAACUUGCAAGUUCAUGAACUACUAGAACAGUGAGCGUCGGUUUAUUAUCUAUUGGCACAACAAAAACUUGCUAAAUUUUAAGAUUAUAUUUGUAGCACAUUUCAUACCCGUGACUCGUGAGAGUGAGCUUGUACGUCCUUCAAGUUUUCCUCGUUUUAUUCGCUUAUUUUUGUACUUAAAUAUUACAGAGUCUUUCACCACAAAACGAGUAUUGGUAACUAAAAAAAACGAGUCUGGAUAUGCAUUUUUGAGUAUAACAAAAGGAUAUUAAUCUGAGUUUAAUAAAUGUAUCUUGUGACAUAAUCAUGCUUGUAAUGGUUUAUUAAGUACCCAUAUGAUCUACCUAACCCCCAAUUUGUCUAACUAAAACUUGAUUAAUAGCCGGGUAUUCUACGUGGACCAAAAAUUAAAUUAAUGAAAAUCUAAUAGCAUAGGCAAAAAAUAAAUAAUCAAUAUCACCAGAAUUUAUCUUAAAAAGAGAUGCAAAUAUCUUAAAGAAAAAUAUAAUAUGACAACAUUCUAGCAAUCGAGAGACUGGCAAAAGCUGGUCCAAUUGACACAAUCUAGCUAGUUAUCGCAACCAUUGGACCUUGACAAAUGAAAUGUGAAUAUGUGAUUUUAAUAACAGAUAGUCAUUCUCAUGUUAUUUAUACAUUAGUCAAUACUUAUUUUUGUUAUGAAAUCGUAAACUAAAAAUCUUAACUUAAAUAUAAUUCAAGAUAUUUUUGUCCCAAAAAUUUAAGGAAUCUUUACACAAAUAGCCGGCAACAUUUAUUAUUUAUUUUUUCUAGCCAUAUAUAUAAAUUAUACACUGAUUAUACAUAAUUAUACAUGUAUAAUACAAACAUUAUGCACAUAUUAUACUUUUAUUGACUAUUUUUAAUUUAGUUGAUUGGGUGGACGGCUAUUUGGUUAAUUCUUCAAAAUUUAACUACUAAUUAUAAUCCCUUUAGAGUUACUAUCUAGCAUGAUUUCUACUAUUUUUAUCCAAUGCAAAUUAAUAGUUGAGAACGUGUGUACCUUGCGGGUGAGGGAGACGUCUGGUGCAGGGAAGUCAGAAAGACACGUGUGAGGGGUGCCCCAUGUUGGAGCAUCCAAAGGCAAGCACUUGCAUCGGGGCAUUGACUUUCGAUCAUAAUUAGACUCCAUUGAGUCCACUCGAAUCGACGAGAAUAGCGGCGUUGGUGUCCCCGGCGUUGCCGGCGCCGAUACUGGUGAUUCAAAUUCCGGCAUCUCCGAUAGUUUUCCUUUGUUUUUUUUUUGUUUUUUGUUUUAUUAGAUGAGCUAGGUUUCUUUCAAAGGAGAAGUAAUUACAUGAUUUUUUGGCUUUUUUAAAUGUUUAGCUACACGAUAUUCAGUUUAACGGCCAGAUCGUUUGAUCCUCAGAAUAAUCAGAAUCCGGCAGGAAACAUAACAAAUGGAAAAAAAAAGAUUUUUUUUUAAUUUUUUUGGUGGAAAGGAGAAGCUAGGAGAACUAAAGUUACAUGCUUUAGAGGUUUUUUAUAAUUGUGCGACUAAGGAUUACAAGAACUGAAGCUAUCCAGCUUGACUAUAUAUGCACUAAUUAAGAUGAUGGCGAAACCUUGAGCAUAUAUAGGAUCUGAAUUACAGUACAGAACAACAACUCAGACUGCUUAAUGAAUGAAUUGAAGAGGAUCCAGCUUCAGAGAGUAACAGACAAAAAAGAAGAAGAAGAAGAAGAAGAAGAAGAAGAAGAAGAAGAAGAAACAGAUUAACGAAACAGCGGAAACAAGAAACAGAAAUGAUUUUAGGCAAGGACGGGCAGUGGGCUAUAUGUUUUGG